rnacentral:misc_RNA from 1 species
UGUUUCACUGCAAUGGGUGGUGCUUCCCAUGGGGCAUAGCAGCUCAGGGUGGCACCAACAUCUGCCUCAGAAAUGUCACAGCAGACUCCAUAUUCGAUAACAUUUUCCUGCACAAGGUGACCCACAUGGCCGGUGCACCAACUGUUCUAAACAUGAUUGUGAAUGCUCGGAGUACAGAGAAGAAGCCUCUUCCUGGCAGGGUGGUUGUCAUGACUGGAGCUGCUCCCCCACCCCCUCAAGUUUUGUUCAAUAUGGAG